UGGGGAAUAUUGCACAAUGGAGGGAACUCUGAUGCAGCGACGCCGCGUGAACGAAGAAGGCUUUCGAGUCGUAAAGUUCUUUUAUAUGGGAAGAUAAUGACGGUACCAUAAGAAAAAGCCCCGGCUAACUACGUGCCAGCAGCCGCGGUAAUACGUACGGGGCUAGCGUUGUCCGGAAUCACUGGGCGUAAAGGGUUCGCAGGCGGAAAUGCAAGUCAGGUGUAAAAGGCAGUAGCUUAACUACUGUAAGCAUUUGAAACUGCAUAUCUUGAGAAGAGUAGAGGUAAGUGGAAUUUUUAGUGUAGCGAUGAAAUGCGUAGAUAUUAAAAAGAAUACCGGUGGCGAAGGCGACUUACUGGGCUCAUUCUGACGCUGAGGAACGAAAGCGUGGGUAGCAAACAGG
rnacentral:rRNA from 1 species